AUACGGAGGAUGCGAGCGUUAUCCGGAUUUAUUGGGUUUAAAGGGAGCGUAGGUGGGAUAUUAAGUCAGCUGUGAAAGUUUGGGGCUCAACCUUAAAAUUGCAGUUGAUACUGGACUCCUUGAGUACGGUACAGGAGGGCGGAAUUCGUGGUGUAGCGGAGAAAUGCUUAGAUAUCACGAAGAACUCCGAUCGCGAAGGCAGCUUCCCGGGCCGUAACUGACACUGAUGCUCGAAAGUGCGGGUAUCAAACAGGAUUAGAUGCCCUGGUAUGCCGCACAGUAAACGAUGAAUACUCGCUGUUUGCGAUACACGGUAAGCGGCCAAGGGAAAACGUUAAGUAUUCACCCUGGGGAGUACGCCGGCAACGGUGAUACUCAAAUGAAUUGACGGGG
rnacentral:rRNA from 1 species